UGGGGAAUCUUGCACAAUGGGCGAAAGCCUGAUGCAGCGACGCCGCGUGCGGGAUGAAGGCCUUCGGGUUGUAAACCGCUUUCAGCAGGGACGAGGCGAAAGUGACGGUACCUGCAGAAGAAGCCCCGGCUAACUACGUGCCAGCAGCCGCGGUAAUACGUAGGGGGCAAGCGUUAUCCGGAUUCAUUGGGCGUAAAGCGCUCGUAGGCGGUCUGUUAGGUCGGGAGUUAAAUCCGGGGGCUCAACCCCCGUUCGCUCCCGAUACCGGCAGACUUGAGUUUGGUAGGGGAAGGUGGAAUUCCUAGUGUAGCGGUGGAAUGCGCAGAUAUUAGGAAGAACACCAGUGGCGAAGGCGGCCUUCUGGGCCAUAACUGACGCUGAGGAGCGAAAGCUAGGGGAGCAAACAGG
rnacentral:rRNA from 1 species